CAAUAGCGUAUACUAAAGUUGUUGCGAUUAAAAAGCUCGUAGUUGGAUCUCAGGCAUGGGCGCACGGUCCGCCUCGCGGCGGUCACUGUGUGUUUUGUUUCCCAUCCUACGCUUCCCGGUUAUCAGCCCAUGGUGCUCUUCACUGAGCGAUUUGGGUGGCCGGAACGUUUACUUUGAAGAAAUUAGAGUGUUCAAAGCAGGCACGUUGCCUGAAUAAUGGUGCAUGGAAUAAUGGAAUAGGACCUCGGUUCUAUUUUGCUGGUUUUCGGAACACGAGGUAAUGAUUAAGAGGGACAGACGGGGGCAUCCGUAUUGCGGUGUUAGAGGUGAAAUUCUUGGAUCAUCGCAAGACGAACAACUGCGAAAGCAUUUGCCAAGCAUGUUUUCAUUAG
rnacentral:rRNA from 1 species